rnacentral:misc_RNA from 1 species
UCUCCGUAGGUGAACCUGCGGAGGGAUCAUUACAGAGUUCAUGCCCUACCGGGUAGAUCUCCCACCCUAUGUUAUUAUUACUUUGUUGCUUUGGCGGGCCGUUAGGCUCCGGCCCGACUACCGGCCCCGGCUGGUAAGCGCCCGCCAGAGGACCCAAAACCCUGAAUAUUAGUGUCGUCUGAGUACUCUAUAAUAGUUAAAACUUUCAACAACGGAUCUCUUGGUUCUG